AAAAAAAAAACUCAUGUAAAACUUAAAAUUUGAGAAGGACAGAAACGUUCCCCUAUUGCUUCUGAUAAAAACGGUGGGUGAUUGAAAUCCAUACCUUUUAUGGUUCCUGAGAUAUCGACAUUUGUUUGGAGGGUCGUUUAGCUAUAACACAGCUAAACGAUGCCUGACUAUAAAAAAUAUGUCACAUGCAGUACAAAAAAAGCAACGUCAAAAGCUCAAAUUAUUCCAGCAUAAAAGCUGUUAAACUGCCCAACUUCAAAAUGGCCACUGCCUUGUUUCCUCCUGAAACUGGAUGAUUGAUUGCCAUUAAUAGGCAGGACCUAAAACAUCCACUGUGAAACACAACGGACAUUUUAUAUUGUAAUUCACAAUUCUGUCAUAGGAUGGAACAGUUUCUCCCAUGGGGUGAAAAAUUCAUAAAAAGCUGAAUAUUAUAAAAAGUAUGAAGGUUAUGAAUACCAAGAGAUAUAGCCGGCAUUAGGAGAGCAAGCUGAAUAGUAUAAAAGUCGAUAACAUUAAUGCCUACAGAAAG